GACGAACGCUGGCGGCGUGCUUAACACAUGCAAGUCGAACGGAAAGGCCCUGCUUGCAGGGUACUCGAGUGGCGAACGGGUGAGUAACACGUGGGUGAUCUGCCCUGCACUUCGGGAUAAGCCUGGGAAACUGGGUCUAAUACCGGAUAGGAGCGAUUCUUAGUGUGAUGGUUGGAAAGUUUUUUCCGUGUAGGAUGAGAUCGCGGCCUAGCAGCUUGGUGGUGGGGUAAUGGCCUACCAAGGCGGCGACGGGUAGCCGGCCUGGGAGGGUGGACGGCCCCAGUGGGACCGGGGUACGGCCCAGACCCCUACGGGGGGCCGCCGUGGGGGAGAUUGCACAAAUGGCGGGAGGCGGAUGCAGCGACGCCGCGUGGGGGAAGACGGCCUUCGGGUUGUAAACGCCUUUCCCUAGGGUCGAAGCUGUUUGUGACGGUACCUGGAUAAGAAGCACCGGCUAACUACGUG
rnacentral:rRNA from 1 species